GCAAGUCGAGGGGUAUAGUAGCAAUACUAGAGACCGGCGCACGGGUGCGUAACGCGUAUGCAAUCUACCUUAUACAGAGGGAUAGCCCAGAGAAAUUUGGAUUAAUACCUCAUAGCAUAGCAACUUCGCAUGAAGUCACUAUUAAAGUUCCAACGGUAUAAGAUGAGCAUGCGUCCUAUUAGCUAGAUGGUAAGGUAACGGCUUACCAUGGCUACGAUAGGUAGGGGUCCUGAGAGGGAGAUCCCCCACACUGGUACUGAGACACGGACCAGACUCCUACGGGAGGCAGCAGUGAGGAAUAUUGGACAAUGGGCGCAAGCCUGAUCCAGCCAUGCCGCGUGCAGGAAGACGCAUCUAUGGUGUGUAAACUGCUUUUGUACGGGAAGAAACACUCCCUCGUGAGGGAGCUUGACGGUACCGUAAGAAUAAGGAUCGGCUAACUCCGUGCCAGCAGCCGCGGUAAUACGGAGGAUCCAAGCGUUAUCCGGAAUCAUUGGGUUUAAAGGGUCCGUAGGCGGUUUGGUAAGUCAGUGGUGAAAGCCCAUCGCUUAACGAUGGAACGGCCAUUGAUACUGCCAGACUUGAAUUACUGGGAAGUAACUAGAAUAUGUAGUGUAGCGGUGAAAUGCUUAGAUAUUACAUGGAAUACCAAUUGCGAAGGCAGGUUACUACCGGUGGAUU
rnacentral:rRNA from 1 species